rnacentral:lncRNA from 1 species
CCCAUCUCUCCUUUGCUCCCUACUUUAUCGCUCCUCGUGCUUCCAAUCACUUUCUCUUUCAGGAUCGUAUCUGAACUCUCCCACUGCGCUCUCUCUACCGGCCUCAGAUAUUUAUCAAGCCCGGGACCAUGCAAGCCUGCCUACCGAGAUCGUAUCUAAUCCCAGUGAGAGAUGAAGAAGCAGAGUCUCAGAGGAAGGCCAGAUCUCGCCACAUUAGACAAACACGCAGAUCCACGCAGGGUGUUACCCUGGCUGAACUGAAGGAGGCUCAGAGGAACUAUAGCCCGUCUCUUCAAGAUACAGAUGGUCAGAUAGAGGAUGGUUGCAGCAGGAUGUGUGACCGGUCCAGUCUGAAAGGGAUAGGAGAGGCCCGGUCCAACCUGGCUCAGUGUUUGGAGGCAGGGAACCCCAGUCAUACAUGUAGCUGGGAGAUAGACAAGAUUGGAACCCAGAGACAAAAGCGGAGGACUCAGGCUUCAGGUUCUACUGCAGACCUCGCCAAUCCUCCUUCUGACCCUUGGCAUUACUACAUCCCUCCUUACACCUCCUCCAGCCUGGCCAACUCUAUGUCCUCCAGAGUUGUUAAAGGGGAAGAUGAACAAAAACAUGACUCCACUGAAGAUCCCUCCAAAUGUGUCCUUUCCACAAGAGAGAAAAAAGUGUGGUUCUACGACCAAGAUGCAGAUAAAGCCUCCCAGGUUUUUGAGGUAUGUGCAUGGAAGGGAUUUCAUGAUUUUCAUAAAUUGUUGGAACAAGCUCCUAUGUGACAGUGGACAUAUUUCUGUGACAUUCUAUUCUACCACUAGGUGGUGCCAAAAUGUUUUUCAAGUAUGAUUUCAUCUGCUGUAUUCGUUUGGGAACAUUAGUUUAAUUUGCAAAUGGAAUUGUAUUAGACUGUAUUCUAUUACACAUUCGCUAAUUCUAUUGUCCUAGUAAUAGCAAGGGAUUCCUAUGAAUCUUGAAAUGUUACUGUUUUUUUUAAACUGUGUGUGUGCGUGUGUGUGUGUGUUGAGCUUCCAAUUGGGGUAAUUCUUCCCUGAAAUAUAUCAUUUUUUUAAUCAUUGCUCCUAGGUGGUAUUCUCAACUCGUUUCAUUCUUGGAAUUGCUCAACUUCCUCUCAAAUACUCAAAACAAUUUAUUAGAAAUGAUGCAUCAGUAUAGACAUUUGAAAAAUUUACAGGGAGUAAAAUUCAACCCAAAGAAAAGCUCAUAGUUCUGCCUAUAGUAAUAUGAUAAAUAAGACCAUUAUUUAAAUCUGGGCUUCUCUGCAGAUCUACCUCAACUGCAGGAUGGUAACCAUGCCUGAUUAGCUGUACUGAAAUGUUUAUCAUGAAGGCAGAUUCGUAGAAGUAAUGAAAUCUG